rnacentral:rRNA from 1 species
UACGUAGGGGGCUAGCGUUGUCCGGAAUCAUUGGGCGUAAAGAGCGUGUAGGCGGCUCGGUAAGUCCGCUGUGAAAGUCCAGGGCUCAACCCUGGAAUGCCGGUGGAAACUGUCGGGCUAGAGUCCGGAAGAGGCGAGUGGAAUUCCUGGUGUAGCGGUGAAAUGCGCAGAUAUCAGGAGGAACACCAAUGGCGAAGGCAGCUCGCUGGGACGGUACUGACGCUGAGACGCGAAAGCGUGGGGAGCAAACAGG